UAAUGCUGCCACCCCUGGGGCCUUGGCACUAACACUCCUGGAGAGGGAGCAAAGGUUACCAAAUGAAGCCUCUGGGGAAAAGGGGGAAAUUCCCUACUUUCAUAAUAUGUAAAUAGGGCACAAAAUGGAGUCUCCCAGCCAGUACCUGAAGUGGUACCUCCUGCUUAGGAAUCCCAGUGACCACUCCCCAGUGAUGCAUUUUGGAGGGUCACUAGAAGAGCCUACAAAUGGGAUGCAACCUUCCAAAAUUAUUAUGCUGAUACAGCUCUGCAGGAUGAAAAGGGCAUCAACACUGACUAGUGCACAAGAGUUUCAGAGGAAUGGGGAAAAUAAAACAACUUAUUGAUCCGUUUUUGCAUUACUGAAGAGCUGUACAAAAGGAAAGGGGAUGCCCAGACUUGCUGUCUCCAUCACCUGGGAUAAUUAUACUGCUGUCCAAGCCUGGGGAAAGCCAAGCAGAGGUCAUACAGGUAUCAAAACCCUUCCAGGGCAAAGAAUUGAGAGAAGAGAACCUUCAUAUUAUUGGAGGACAGACCCAUUAUUUUCUAUGCUUAUAGUUUAUUCAUUGAGCUCCCU
rnacentral:lncRNA from 1 species